UACAGAGGUCCCGAGCGUUUGUUCGGAUUCAUUGGGCGUAAAGGGCGCGUAGGCGGCCUGCUAAGUCGAACGUGAAAUCCCCGAGCUCAACUCGGGAACUGCGUCCGAUACUGGCAGGCUUGAAUCCGGGAGAGGUGAGUGGAACUGCGAGUGUAGAGGUGAAAUUCGUAGAUAUUCGGAAGAACACCAGUGGCGAAGGCGGCUCACUGGACUGGUAUUGACGCUGAGGUGGCGAAAGCGUGGGGAGCAAACAGG
rnacentral:rRNA from 1 species